ACAAUGCCAUUGUUAAGUAAUCCAGCUCAGAACUGUAAUGGCUCUCCCAUGCCUGGGGUUCAGCAUAUGGUGCAGCUUUUACGCAUGGUCAAAGGAUUCCAUACUGAUGUCCCAAAACCUGAGGUUUUGAAGAGCGGAGCAUCAAUUCCAUCAUCAGCUCUCUCCCUGGAGGGAUUCUAUUCUUAUUCAAGCAUCGAUUUGAAGUACAAGUGCUCUGGCUUUACAAGGAUUUCCUGAUUCUCUUACUGACAUAUGUAUUUUUUCAGAGAGCAUUGUUCUUCAAUGGAGUGCAUUAAAAUGAAUCUACAGAAGAAGAAUGUGGUCAGACGUAGGGGAAUGACUUAACAGCUUUUAUUAAAAGGCUACUCUCAAAUAUCAUUCAAACACUUCAUGGAACUUAGAAGCUUUCCUUUGUGAUCAGAAGAUCAUAGUCUAAUGCCUGGGUGUACAAUCUAGGAGAUUUUUCUCACCCUACCAUUCCAAUUUUCAGAAAGCACCUACUUGCUUUGGGAUGUCACAUCUUCGCAUUAAAAGUCUUAAAAAUACAAUCCGAGCUCUUCUGAAAAAGUAUCUUUGGGAACACGAGGGUGUGCAUGAAUAUCUUCAAAGCUGUAGUUUGACUAACCCAGCCACUGCUUAGAUCAUCAAACAGGCAUGCAUUUGGGACACAGAGGCACUACAGUCCUGGUGUAUUCAGCCCAGAAUCCUCAUGGUUAUGUGAAUAAUUAUCCCUUCAUACCGGCCUAGAAAUCUUGGACAGAAUUAGCAAUCACAGCAAGGGUGCUAAGAAAUAAUUUGUACCAUACAUCUGUUAGUGUCCCUUAGCCCAGCUGGAAUUUACAUGCUUUCCUCUCUAUCUUGGGUUUCUCAAAUUGUGUUGAUGUGUAUUUAAGCCGCAGGAACAUUCGAGGCGGUCACGCAGCGGGGGAGAUGCAAACUUUGCUGGUAUUUUGAUUCCAAACUGUGAUAUCUCUUAUCAGGAUGGGUAAGGAAAGAAAGUGUCAGUGGCAUUUAGUCUCCUGGACUAAGUUUCUCUGGCUAUCUCAUGGUGUGGUGGGUGAAAAGUGUGAGGGCAAGGCCAUCACAAGUGUGGAAGAACUCACAGACCACUCAGGCAAGCAUUCUCCAACAGGUAUC